CUUCACUUGAAUCAGUAGUAGGGUUAGAGUCAGCACUGGUUCCUUCGCCAACAAGAAGACACGACCAGAAAGAUAUUUCGUAGAGCUUUCACGAUCAUCAUCAGAAGAACAAAAUGCUCAUCCCUUAGAGAUGAUAAUAGGUGAAGGCAAACGCAGGUGUGCUAACAAAUUUCGAAGUGGUUGACUUACUAAACUCAAGAGGUCUAUGAUUAUUUGAAUGAGACUGCUUCUUCCACUCAGACACUAGAGAGCGUUAAAACAUUCUCCGACAAGUGCAAAGAUUUCAACCUCGAAAAGCUGAGAUUCUCAAUAUCAUCAAAUAUCCGGCCAUCUAUAGAUGCCAAAGCCCUUAUUAGAUCCGGUCUUAUAAUCUCUUGUUCUUAUACUACAUUAUUUACUAUCAUCAAACGUACAUAUGUUUGUAUUCUCUCUUACGGGUUUUCAUACUGUUUUAACCUUUGUUGAUUGUGACUUUUGAAGAUCAUAGAGGAUAGGAACCCAAAGAAUGAGGAAUCUAUAGGAAGGGAAUACUACAGCUCGUGCAGUAUUUGCUACCACCUCUUCCUACAGUGGAAACUCAUGAAAACGACCAAGAUGAAACAAAGAACGGUGAAGGAUCGUAACAUUCAACUCCAGUUUUAAAUUUCUGAGUUAGUAUCUUUGGUUAAGAACAUAUACAUUUUAUUUUCAGUUUGUAUUAUUUGAAGUUAUGCUUAC